rnacentral:misc_RNA from 1 species
AUCUUCAAAAAAUGGACUCUUUUUCUGAAUCAUAGUCUCCGAGGGGGGGGAUUCCGUUCUUAUUGGCUUCACACCAAAGUCACCAGCUCCAAAGAAAUCUCUGUGCUUAUCAGAAUCUGAAUCCUUAGUACUAGCAGGGUUAAAUCCCCAGACUGAGUCUGUAUCAUCGUGAGUGUCAAGAGCACCCCAUGUUGAUUCAUCAAAACUUCUAUGUGUUUCUGCAUCUGGAUCAAUACUCU